AAGGUUUUCGGAUCGUAAAGCUCUGUUGUUAGGGAAGAACAAGUACCGUUCGAAUAGGGCGGUACCUUGACGGUACCUAACCAGAAAGCCACGGCUAACUACGUGCCAGCAGCCGCGGUAAUACGUAGGUGGCAAGCGUUGUCCGGAAUUAUUGGGCGUAAAGGGCUCGCAGGCGGUUUCUUAAGUCUGAUGUGAAAGCCCCCGGCUCAACCGGGGAGGGUCAUUGGAAACUGGGGAACUUGAGUGCAGAAGAGGAGAGUGGAAUUCCACGUGUAGCGGUGAAAUGCGUAGAGAUGUGGAGGAACACCAGUGGCGAAGGCGACUCUCUGGUCUGUAACUGACGCUGAGGAGCGAAAGCGUGGGGAGCGAACAGGAUUAGAUACCCUGGUAGUCCACGCCGUAAACGAUGAGUGCUAAGUGUUAGGGGGUUUCCGCCCCUUAGUGCUGCAGCUAACGCAUUAAGCACUCCGCCUGGGGAGUACGGUCGCAAGACUGAAACUCAAAGGAAUUGACGGGGGCCCGCACAAGCGGUGGAGCAUGUGGUUUAAUUCGAAGCAACG
rnacentral:rRNA from 2 species